UUCUGGCUUCUCCAGCAUCAAGUCUAAGAUAAAGGACACAGAGAAAGAAAACCAGGGAAUUUACCAUGGAUUGCUCCACAGCAUUGUCUAGGCCUGGCCGGAGUUUUCCACCCUUCUGCCUCAGUCUCCCAGAGUGGAGGGAUCACAGCAGGGAAACAAGACCGAGGUGGACAGCACUGAACGAUUGGAAUGGGAGACAGAGCAUUUGUGAAGGAGGUGAUGUGCAGACUUCUAAAAAUUUAAUGAGGAUGUGAUUUGACAUGUGGACCCCCGUUGUUUGCUUGGGCAGAGCGGAGCAUGAUAAUCUGUUCAAGAUCAUCUCCAUUCCUGGAUGAAAUUAGGUUCUGGAAAACAUUCCUUUCAUGACUGUAAGCCUACAGUGAGCUUGCCUGCCUUGUAUGCCUUCCCCCGACUGAACCUGGCCCCUCCCAAACAGAUGUAACAGAUUAGUCGAGCUCCCCAUCUGCUGAUAGCCACCACUGCAUCUGCAUUUCUUGACCCUUAUCAGAAGAGAGGGGAACUGCUCUGUGCAGGGUCUGGAAG